AUGUUCACUGUUAUAUUCAUGUGUCUGUGGCUUUCACUAGGUGACUCCAUGGCAGAUUCAGUAGAGCCACUUUUCAAUUAUAAAGCUGUAGAUGAAGGUGAUGAUGUUACUCUGUCCUGCAAAUACAAAUUCAGUGUUUCAGGAAUCAACUACCUGCAGUGGUACAGGCAAUAUCCAAAAUCUAAACCUGAGUUCCUGCUUUAUAUUUCUACAAAUGGAGAUCCAAGUCAAAACAUCCCCCCAAGAAUGUCUCCUAAAGUUCAUGGUGAUGAACAAGUGGAUCUGAUCAUCUCCUCUGCUGCUGUAUCAGACUCUGCUUUAUACUACUGUGAUCACAACACAAAAGAAAGAAACCAAUGUCAGGAAUGGCAUUCAAACCCACACCUCCAGAAGAGACUUCAACCAGAUGGCCGAGUGGUCUAA